rnacentral:tRNA from 1 species
GAGGGGAGGUAUAAACCAACAAGAA